AUCCCCCACGGUAAGAGGACCGGUAGGGGAUAUGAAGGUUGGCCGCCAUAUGUUGUCUGGUGAAGGCGGAGCUGCCUCUUCACCAAUGUUCAAGUCAAAACGACGAUCAGAAGGGCCAGACAUUUUUAAGAGGUGGUGAAGAAAGAUGAGAGUCGGAAUGAUCAAGAUUAAACAAGUGCAAGAAGGGAGUGUUUACAAGAGGGAGCUCAAGUGUGUUGUGGAACAAAAUUAACGCCUCUAUAAAAAGAAGAAAUCAAAGAGGCGCUCCUCAGAGAAGCGUCCUCUCGCAAAUCGAAGAGUCGGGGCUCCUUUCUCAAACGCCUGAUUCUUUUCUCAAAAGAGGACGCUCCUUUCUCAAAAGCUGGAUUCUUUUCUGAAAAGAGGACGCUCAUUUCUUAAAAGCCGGAUUCUUUUCUCAAAAGAGGCGUUUCAUUUCUCAAAAAAAUGGGCUUGCUCAGCAACCAUGAGCCGAAUCCCGGAUUUCGAAAGAUCACUUUGUCCAGACGUGUCGUCACUCGUCACAUGCAACCGGUAGCUUUGCGGAAAUUACGGGCAGCUUUGUCAGAAAGCGCGUAAUUUGUACUAUUCAUCCAUCCACCGGCUACCGACAAUGAGUGAGAGAACAGUUCCGGUUGUGAAGACAAGUCCUAUAAGUUUCUACCUUCGCCUUCCACAACAAAAGCACACUAUCUCAGCACACCCUCUCAACACUUCUUCAUCUCCGAAAAUGCAUUCCCAAAGAAUCCUCUCGAGUCACUCUGUGUUCCUCAUUCCUUGGGAUACUCCUGCGAACAACCCAUUCAAAGCAAAAGUAUUUCAUAUCAUAAAGGUUGAAAGCAAGAGUAUCUCAUAUCAUGCAUUCUCCAUGUCCUUUUUCCUUGUCUUUGUUCUAACCUGCAGGACAUGGAGAAAUUGCUCUCGAGUACUCGUCUUCCACUGCUGAUGUACUCCAAAGAAGCUGCCACAUCUAUCCG
rnacentral:lncRNA from 1 species